rnacentral:rRNA from 1 species
AGAGUUUGAUCAUGGCUCAGAUUGAACGCUGGCGGCAGGCCUAACACAUGCAAGUCGAGCGGCAGCGGGAAAGUAGCUUGCUACUUUUGCCGGCGAGCGGCGGACGGGUGAGUAAUGCCUGGGGAUCUGCCCAGUCGAGGGGGAUAACAGUUGGAAACGACUGCUAAUACCGCAUACGCCCUACGGGGGAAAGGAGGGGACCUUCGGGCCUUUCGCGAUUGGAUGAACCCAGGUGGGAUUAGCUAGUUGGUGGGGUAAUGGCUCACCAAGGCGACGAUCCCUAGCUGGUCUGAGAGGAUGAUCAGCCACNCUGGAACUGAGACACGGUCCAGACUCCUACGGGGGGCAGCAGUGGGGAAUAUUGCACAAUGGGGGAAACCCUGAUGCAGCCAUGCCGCGUGUGUGAAGAAGGCCUUCGGGUUGUAAAGCACUUUCAGCGAGGAGGAAAGGUUGGCGCCUAAUACGUGUCAACUGUGACGUUACUCGCANAAGAAGCACCGGCUAACUCCGUGCCAGCAGCCGCGGUAAUACGGAGGGUGCAAGCGUUAAUCGGAAUUACUGGGCGUAAAGCGCACGCAGGCGGUUGGAUAAGUUAGAUGUGAAAGCCCCGGGCUCAACCUGGGAAUUGCAUUUAAAACUGUCCAGCUAGAGUCUUGUAGAGGGGGGUAGAAUUCCAGGUGUAGCGGUGAAAUGCGUAGAGAUCUGGAGGANUACCGGUGGCGAANGCGGCCCCCUGGACAAAGACUGACGCUCANGUGCGAAAGCGUGGGGAGCAAACAGGAUUANAUACCCUGGUAGUCCACGCCGUAAACGAUGUCNAU